rnacentral:lncRNA from 1 species
ACUUGGAGUCUGUUAAAAUUGUGUUCUGCAGAGAUUUGAUUUCCUGUUAAUGACUGGAGUACUUGACCCAUGAAUUGCUUUUUUCUUUCCCAUAGCUUCCUGCAUAACUUCUUUAUCAAGUAUCUGAAGAAACCCAUUCACAGGAGUUUGACCGCUAACUCUUGUCCCAACAUCAGAUCUGGAAUUCAGUUGAUAAAUGAAGACCUUCAGUCACUGAAUGUCCUAAUGCCAAUUGAUGAUUUGGCUGAAAUAGACUACUCCUUAAAUAGCUUGCCAGCAGUAUCCCGACCAUACAUUGACCUGGACUUAAAGGUAAUUGCCUGUAGUGCUUCUGCCAAUAUUAAUGGAUUUUUUUGUUCUUGUAUGAUCCUCUUUCUAAGAUUGAAGAUGCCUGCUGUUCUGAACACUAAAACACUAAGCACUACUGCAUUUGUUAUUGUAAUAAUUUUUAACAAAUCUGUUGUAAAAUGAAUUAUUAAAAAAUCCAUUUUUAAUUGCUGUUGACUUGGUUAUAGCAAAUACUGAUAAAAGCUGACUAAGCAAGCUACAAGAAAAAAGAAAGGAGAAAGGUAUUCAAAGAGGAAUUUGUCUUCAUCCUUCUCUCACUGUUAGCAUCUGGCACUUAUU